rnacentral:rRNA from 1 species
CCUACGGUGGGCAGCAGUGGGGGAUAUUGCACAAUGGGGGGAACCCUGAUGCAGCGACGCCGCGUGAGCGAAGAAGUACCUCGGUAUGUAAAGCUCUAUCAGCAGGGAAGAAAAUGACGGUACCUGACUAAGAAGCCCCGGCUAAAUACGUGCCAGCAGCCGCGGUAAUACGUAUGGGGCAAGCGUUAUCCGGAUUUACUGGGUGUAAAGGGAGCGCAGGCGGCCUGCCAAGUCUGGUGUGAAAACCCGGGGCCCAACCCCGGGCCUGCAUUGGAAACUGGCGGGCUGGAGUGUCGGAGGGGCAGGCGGAAUUCCUAGUGUAGCGGUGAAAGGCGUAGAUAUGAGGAGGAACACCGGCGGCGAAGGCGGCUUACUGGACUGUAACUGACGUUGAGGCUCGAAGGCGUGGGGAGCAAACAGGAUUAGAUACCCGAGUAGUC